rnacentral:rRNA from 1 species
UUUUAUGGAGAGUUUGAUCCUGGCUCAGGAUGAACGCUGGCGGCGUGCCUAAUACAUGCAAGUCGAGCGAACAGACGAGGAGCUUGCUCCUCUGACGUUAGCGGCGGACGGGUGAGUAACACGUGGAUAACCUACCUAUACGACUGGGAUAACUUCGGGAAACCGGAGCUAAUACCGGAUAAUAUAUUGAACCGCAUGGUUCAAUAGUGAAAGACGGUUUUGCUGUCACUUAUAGAUGGAUCCGCGCCGCAUUAGCUAGUUGGUAAGGUAACGGCUUACCAAGGCAACGAUGCGUAGCCGACCUGAGAGGGUGAUCGGCCACACUGGAACUGAGACACGGUCCAGACUCCUACGGGAGGCAGCAGUAGGGAAUCUUCCGCAAUGGGCGAAAGCCUGACGGAGCAACGCCGCGUGAGUGAUGAAGGUCUUCGGAUCGUAAAACUCUGUUAUUAGGGAAGAACAAAUGUGUAAGUAACUAUGCACGUCUUGACGGUACCUAAUCAGAAAGCCACGGCUAACUACGUGCCAGCAGCCGCGGUAAUACGUAGGUGGCAAGCGUUAUCCGGAAUUAUUGGGCGUAAAGCGCGCGUAGGCGGUUUUUUAAGUCUGAUGUGAAAGCCCACGGCUCAACCGUGGAGGGUCAUUGGAAACUGGAAAACUUGAGUGCAGAAGAGGAAAGUGGAAUUC